rnacentral:lncRNA from 1 species
UUUCCUCCGUUUUCUUUCACCUGUUUUAUUAUUCCAGUGUGUGUGCAUUCUUUGAGCAGUUUAUCAGCAACCUUAUCCUAUUCUUUUGAGCGUGGAUCCCGUUGAGUACGGCGGACGUGAGGGGUGCUAAUACCUUCCCCUUGCGUAACCGACUCCCGUGCCCUGCAUCUCUGGUCGUAAGACCGUUCCUUUCCCCUUUUUCAGAUUUACUUCGAGC